rnacentral:rRNA from 1 species
AAAUGAAUAGACGGGGGCCCGCACAAGCGGUGGAGUAUGUGGUUUAAUUCGACGCAACGCGAAGAACCUUACCAGGUCUUGACAUACCGGACAAGUCUAUAGAGAUAUAGAGGAGGAUGAAGGAUACAGGUGGUGCAUGGUUGUCGUCAGCUCGUGUCGUGAGAUGUUGGGUUAAGUCCCGCAACGAGCGCAACCCUUGUCUUCAGUUACCAUCAUUAAGUUGGGGACUCUGGAGAGACUGCCGGUGAUAAACCGGAGGAAGGUGGGGAUGACGUCAAAUCAUCAUGCCCUUUAUGACCUGGGCUACACACGUACUACAAUGGCAACUACAGCGUGAAGCCAGCUAGUGAUAGCGAGCAAAUCACACAAAGGUUGUCUCAGUUCGGAUUGAAGUCUGCAAUUCGACUUCAUGAAGUCGGAAUCGCUAGUAAUCGCGGAUCAGCAUGCCGCGGUGAAUACGUUCUCGGGCCUUGUACACACCGCCCGU